GCGGUCAUGGUGGAAUGGCAGACACGCCAUCUUGAGGGGGUGGUGAGCUAACGCUCGUGCGGGUUCAAGUCCCGCUGACCGCA
rnacentral:tRNA from 1 species